GUAAUCUAGUUUAUUUUAUUUGUUUUAUACUAAAAAGUAUAAAUAUACUUCCUCUUUACUUAAAAUAUAUCACUUUUUACAUAACAAUAUAUUUUAAGUAAAACAAUAGCAAUUUAUUUGGGUAGCUUUUUGUAUGAGUUUGUUGUGUACAAGAAAUGUUAUAAAAGUGAGUUGAAAUGCACAAUUUAUUUGAGCAGCUGUCGAUGUGGCAUGUGUGUUCAUCAAACUUAAAUAUUUGAAAUAAAAAACACAUAAAAAUUAAGUUGGAUUUAUCCCUUUUUCACUGGCGGGGACUUUCCAAGGCAGAUGCUUCCUCGGCACUUCAACUGUUUGAAAGCUGCAGCGGAUCUAAAUUUCACAGACUGAUUAACACGUCUCCGGUGGGGCAUGCAGCUGUCGUGGGGUCCUCGUGUUAUCAGCAGCAGAGUUGUAACCAAGCGUUUUUGUUACCUGGGGUCUUCAGAUACAGGAUCCAUCUGGCUAUGUGGAGAAAAGGAGAGAAGUGGUACUGAGAUGCCUGAUUGAGUACAUAUGGGAGGGAAAGGAAGACCUCAUCACUGUCCACCAUAGUCAUGAUGAAACAGAGGUGUACGCUGAGCUUGGCAGUUCCCCACUGAAAAUAUACACGCGCCAUCAGCCAAACACGAUUGGGAUUAUCACAGUAGAAGGACAGCCCAUGGUCAGAGGUGUGCCAAACCUGUAGAAAACCUCCUGUUUGGACUUGUCUAUGCUCACAACCUCUAAUAUCACUCAAAUCUGGUGUAUACUUCUGAGAUAUAUCACAGGUUCUUUGUGGGAUUGGACCCUAUGCAUACUUUUGUAUGUUUGUUAGGCACUGUUAAAAGUGACACUAGUUGACAUUGAAUAAAUGUUAUUGUCUUUAAUCUGUCUUCCCAUCUUUUUCUUCUUCAAUUGAAUUUGUAAUUGUUAUUGAUAAAGUCUGUUUAUGUAAAGUGAUUUACUGUACUGCUUAGAAUAUAGACAUUUAGAUGUAUUUUCUGAGGUAAUAGCCAGGACUUAAUUAAAAUGUUUAUUCACACUUGAUUAGGUUAAAUUUACUAUGAGCAUAAAGUUCAUAAAACCUAACUAAAAUGAGUACAGGUUACUUGUAGUACCACAUAAAUACGUUACAUAUACCAAGAAAAUUAGGUUUAUCUAACUGACUAAUAUAGCACUUAUUAGUUAACUCAACUUGAUUUUGUUGUGUUUGAAUUAAGUAAUUUUACAGAGUUUAUUAUACUUGAAAAAGGCUGCAAGUUGACUCAACUUAAAACAUCCAAUGCAGCCACUUGCCUCACUUUUUAUAAGUUUGAUCUAGGUAUUACUUUUUACAGUGUAACUGGUAAUGUUUACAGAAAACACAUUUGCUGAAGCAACAAGCCAUUUUAAACUCGCUUCUAUACCUGAGCACUCUGCAUUGCAAUUGCAGAGCUGUACCAGGUGAGCUACCAAGCAAGUUUACCACACCAGAAAAGCUGUACAGUACGUAUAGAUUUGAUUACAUGAAAAUAAUUGUGCAUGGAACCCUACCUAUUCAUAGUUUUCCUGAAAUGUAUGAGUGUUUUUGUUUUGAGUGACUUUAUUUCAGUGCUUUUGCGAGCAAGUGCAAAGUUUCUCAGUAAAUGCAAAAGUAUUGGGAGCAAACAGAAAUAUUUUUUGGG